GAUGAACGCUGGCGGCGUGCUUAACACAUGCAAGUCGAACGGAAAGGCCAGUGCUUGCCCUGGUGCUCGAGUGGCGAACGGGUGAGUAACACGUGGGUGAUCUGCCCUGCACUUUGGGAUAAGCCUGGGAAACUGGGUCUAAUACCAGAUAGGACCAUGCUUUGGAUGGUGUGGUGGAAAGUUUUUUCGGUGUGGGAUGAGCUUGCGGCCUAUCAGCUUGUUGGUGGGGUAAUGGCCUACCAAGGCGUCGCCGGGUAGCCGGCCUGAGAGGGUGUACGGCCACAUUGGGACUGAGAUACGGCACAGACUCCUACGGGAGGCAGCAGUGGGGAAUAUUGCACAAUGGGCGCAAGCCUGGUGCAGCGACGCCGCGUGGGGGAUGACGGCCUUCGGGUUGUAAACUCCUUUCGCAACUGACGAAGCUUUUUGUGACGGUAGGUGGAGAAGAAGCACCGGCUAACUACGUG
rnacentral:rRNA from 1 species